ACUGUGGAAACCUCUUCACGUCCCUAAAUAGAAAUUAACUGACAGACGACAUCUUAUAAAGUUUACAACUGAAACAAAGUACACUGACAAAAAUGUGGAAAUUAUUGCUAGCUUCAAUCGUCAUGGCAACGGUAACGGUUCACGCAUUUGGUUUUCAUCGCCAUCUAUUGGACACCAUCGACGUUUGCAUAUUGACGUGUGACCAGUGUUUCAAAACAGGUGGAUUAACGGAAUGUGCAAACGAGUGCAUCCAAACCGGUGGACUUAUGAACACUCUAUGGAAACUGAGAUGUCCUCCACUAGCAGCCAUCGUUGAUGAAGAACUCCCCUCGGUGCAACAAGUUUAACAUCUCCCUAAAGUUAUCCCCUAAAAAAUUUAAAAUAAUACACUAACUUUUCAAAUUUA